rnacentral:lncRNA from 1 species
CCGGGGUCGCCCCGCCCGCGGCGCAGAGCCUCUGGGGCGAGGGUAGGCGCCCUGCAGCGCAGAGAGGGGCUGCCCCUGGACAAGCCGGGAGUUCUUGUUCUUCCCAUGGCGAAACGGCCUCUUUUGCCGCGGUAGUUGUUUCCAGUCCCGGCAAAGCAGGUCCUGUCCGGCUGGAUACUGUGACUGUGCAGUCUACCAACAGCGAGAAUCAGUUCAAGCAGGGAGAAAGUUGUUCGGAGAAGGGGCGAGGAGUCCGGGGCUCCGCGCGGGGGACCCAGGAACCAGGUGUCCGCGCUUGGGCGGCAGCGAGGCUGCGUGGCGGUUGCGGCAAGAACCACUGCUCACUCGGCCCCGGAUCGGGCCGGCUUGGACUGGGCUGCCCUGCAUAGGGGGGAACCUUCCCGCACAACUAAGUUGCCAUUCGGUCUUUGGAGGAGGGGGCUUGGGAUGGGAAUUUCGCACCCCUUUGCCUCUUCCCGCUCCUACCCUCGCCGACGCAUUUACUUUAUUUAGAGCCCCUACCUUCUCAGUCGUUUAAAUGUUACUGUUUUUAUUAGUGACAUACCUGUGAGUCACCUUUUAAAAUAUGAAGUACCUAUGCAAAUUUGAAUUAUAUGGUAAAAACACAUCACCUUUACAAUGAAAACAGCUUCUUUUAAGGCAACGAAAUAACAAUUGACUAUAAUGCUAAAUGUAUCCGCUGAAAAAAGCCUACUUGCACAUGAGAAUUACACGUUUUUCUGCAACAUUUAUAUGUAGCGACUUGGAAACUUCUGGAAAUCUAGAAGAUUCUGACGAGGAGACAAAUUUCUGAUACUUAAAGACUCCAUGGUUCUGUGGGUGGAGAAAUAAAAACUCUAAGUUCUGAUAAGAUGUUUUAGAAUUCAACUAAAACAAUAAAAUAUUAAGAGUAAAAUAGGGAAGUAAGAAAGAGGAAGAGAAACAAAGAAAGGAAAUAAUUUACAGCAAUCUCAGAAAUUUAAUUCCAAAUUGCCAGAAGGUAAGUCUUAAGUAUAUAAAACUAAAUUUCAAAACAAACUGAAAAAAAGAGGGAGAAGAUGAAGAUGGCUGUCUCAGUUCACACUGCUCUGACUCAAUUUUGGAUUUAAUACUAAACUUCAUUUGGCAAACCAAUAGAAGUCAAUACAUUUUUUUAAUUUUCUUAAUUUUUUUGUUGUUGGUAAACACAGGGGCUUGCUAUGUUGCCCAGGCUGGUCUUGAACUCUUGGCCUCAAGCAAUCCCUGCCCGCCCCCCUCCCUUGGCCUCCCAAAGUGCUGGGAUUACAAGUGUGAGUCACCACACCUAGAUAAAUCAAUACAUUUUAAAGAUUUUUUUGUAGCUAAUGACUUUCGUGAUUGUUUUCUCUCCUUUGCCCCACACUUCCAAUCCAUUACUGAGUGCUUUUGCUUCUGGCUCUAUAAUAUCUCUCUAAUGUAUCAAAUUCCUCUUUAUACCCACUACCACUAUCUUGUUUCAGGCCACUAUCAUUUCAAAUCUUGCAUACUGCCUAAGUCACCUAACCAGUUUCCCAGGCCGCAGUUUUAUCCCCUUCUAAUCCAGUCUUUACAACGUCAUCAGUUUGUCUUUUAUGUACUCCACUAUUUAAAUUUCUGUAAUGGCACUCUCUGACUCUUGAUAUAAAGUCCAAACCACUUAAAAUGUCUUGUAAGAUCCUUCUUGAUUUAGCCACCAGUCACAAACUGGCUGUUUUUGU